AUUGAACGCUGGCGGCAUGCCUUACACAUGCAAGUCGAACGGUAACGGGCCUUCGGGUGCCGACGAGUGGCGAACGGGUGAGUAAUGUAUCGGAACGUACCUUUCAGUGGGGGAUAACGUAGCGAAAGUUACGCUAAUACCGCAUAUUCUGUGAGCAGGAAAGCAGGGGAUCGCAAGACCUUGCGCUGAUUGAGCGGCCGAUAUCAGAUUAGCUAGUUGGUGAGGUAAAGGCUCACCAAGGCGACGAUCUGUAGCGGGUCUGAGAGGAUGAUCCGCCACACUGGAACUGAGACACGGUCCGGACUCUUACGGGAGGCAGCAGUGGGGAAUUUUGGACAAUGGGGGCAACCCUGAUCCAGCCAUGCCGCGUGAGUGAAGAAGGCCUUCGGGUUGUAAAGCUCUUUCGGCCGGGAAGAAAUCGUAUGGGUUAAUACCCUGUGCGGAUGACGGUACCGGCAUAAGAAGCACCGGCUAACUACGUGCCAGCCGCCGCCGUAAAAC
rnacentral:rRNA from 1 species